GGGUCAGUCAUGAGUACAUUAUGUUGCCUUGAGAGGUGGUGAUGACUUAUAUAUCAAGUACAAUGUCAUGACACUGAGGCCC
rnacentral:snoRNA from 1 species